rnacentral:lncRNA from 1 species
UCAUCUCUCUGAAAUCCCUAAAGGGUCAAAACCCUCGUGACUCCUCAAUCUCUCAAAUUCAACUCCAAAAGAAUGACUCUCGCCCUCUGAAAUUUUCUCUCAACCUUAAAUCUCAGGUUUUGUUCUUUAUCAUCUUUCAAUCUACUUAUUUUUCUUUUUAUUUUUUUUUAUUUUACACUGAAGCUUCAAGUGGUUCUUAUUUAUUUUGUGAAAUUCUCCAUUUUGUGGCUUAGGAUAUCUAUAAAGUAUUUUCAAUUUGAUUCGAAAUAGGUUUUUAGUUUAACUGUCAUCGUUUGCUUCCAAUAUUGGGUCGACGAAUAGAAGCUAGUGUUUUCCUUACUUUUCCAGAUCUGGUUCUUCUGUUGUGGUCUUUUGAAGUUUUUUUUAAUGUUUGGAUUCCACCCUUUUUGUGAACUUAUAAUGAGUUAAGAUUCAAAGCGUUUAGGAGGUAAACUGUAUCUGGUAACUCUUGCAAAACUCUAUGUUUGUUUGAGCGAUACAAGACUGCUUUAUGAAAUUAGUUCAUCUGCUUGUGGCUCCUUCUAGCUAUGGCUUGGCUAGGCAGAAUGAUUCUCUAUCAAAAAAUAUUCAUGUACUUAAUUCAUCCUCAAAAAGAAAAGAAAAAUGAUACAUACCUUUUUGUGGCAGUGGAUUGAGAACCUUAGCAGUUUUGUUGUUUUGUACUUAAACUUGUUGUGUGAUUUGCAUUUUGUUGGUUCAGUGGUUUAAAUGGUGACUGCAGCAUAAUGAGAUUGAUGUCCUAUUCAACACUAGAUUUAGCUAUUACAAAAAUUAUGAAUUUACGGAAACGUGAUGGAGGAUUAGAUUUGCCAAGAAAAUCUGGUGGUCUUCCACACUCCAUGACAGGUUCUUUCUCAUGGUGUUACAGUUGUUUUCUUGAUUCAGGUGUAAAAUUAUACUGUUUAUGGUUAUAUUUACGUUUUUAAGAGAAGGAAAAUGACGACUUUAAUUGGGCUGCUGGCAUUUGUUUUUCUCUGUUUCUAUUCAUUACGUAUAGCUUCUUAUAUUAGGAGUAUAAAAAGAAAAGAUUUGUGAGGGACACAACAAAUUUAUUUCCACAAGAUGCCUGCUCUUGAGUGAUAAAAAGCUUUUGAAAUAUGUACAUGUAAGCUUGUUAAAUAAUUCUCCCAUGUAUAAUCCAUUCUCUUUCUUUGCCGUAGCAAAUUUCUAUUCUUUUUCCAAGCUAGAAGGGAAUUGUUAGCGGUCAUUAGAACCUUUAUAUGUUGAAAUAAGGAAACUUUUGAAGUUACAAGCAUAUGACAUUGGAACGUUAAACCUUCGAAGCUCAAAACCAGAGACAAAGAUUGAGAGGGGCUUGCUUUUCACCUUGUCUUCUUGGGUGCAAAAUUUGGUUCAGUUAACAAUUGGUUGUUGGAGAAUAAUUUUGUUAGUGGUGGAAUAUGGUAAAAAUUUUAUUUAUUGAAAUCCUUGAAAGAUGAUUCUC